rnacentral:rRNA from 1 species
GACGUAGGGCGCGAGCGUUGUCCGGAUUUAUUGGGCGUAAAGAGCUCGUAGGCGGCUUGUCGCGUCAACUGUGAAAACCCGUGGCUCAACCAUGUGGUCUGCAGUCGAUACGGGCAGGCUAGAAUUCGGUAGGGGAGACUGGAAUUCCUGGUGUAGCGGUGAAAUGCGCAGAUAUCAGGAGGAACACCGAUGGCGAAGGCAGAUCUCUGGGCCGUAACUGACGCUGAGGAGCGAAAGCAUGGGGAGCGAACAGG